UGGGGAAUUUUGGACAAUGGGCGAAAGCCUGAUCCAGCAAUGCCGCGUGUGUGAAGAAGGCCUUCGGGUUGUAAAGCACUUUUGUCCGGAAAGAAAUGGCUCUGGUUAAUACCUGGGGUCGAUGACGGUACCGGAAGAAUAAGGACCGGCUAACUACGUGCCAGCAGCCGCGGUAAUACGUAGGGUCCAAGCGUUAAUCGGAAUUACUGGGCGUAAAGCGUGCGCAGGCGGUUGUGCAAGACCGAUGUGAAAUCCCCGAGCUUAACUUGGGAAUUGCAUUGGUGACUGCACGGCUAGAGUGUGUCAGAGGGGGGUAGAAUUCCACGUGUAGCAGUGAAAUGCGUAGAGAUGUGGAGGAAUACCGAUAGCGAAGGCAGCCCCUGGGAUAACACUGACGCUCAUGCACGAAAGCGUGGGGAGCAAACAGGAUUAGAUACCCUGGUAGUCCACGCCCUAAAACGAUGUCAACUAGUUGUUGGGAUUCAUUUCCUUAGUAACGUAGCUAACGCGUGAAGUUGACCGCCU
rnacentral:rRNA from 1 species